UUAAAGUGUCAAUAAUAAUAUAAUAUAAUAAUUUUAUGUAAAUGGUAGAUAUUCUUCUAUUGAAACUAGUGUAUUAUUUGAGCUGUAAAGUUCAUUUUUAUGGUCAUUACCAUGUUAACAAGUAUAUUGUUUACAUCUUGUGGUUAUACUAAUAAAACUGAGCAUUUUAUUAGAGGCCCCAUUUUUUUUUUCUUUCUUUUUUUUUGUAAUCAAUACUUUGCCAAUAACUUGUAUUGAACUGAACUUAACUUGCAUUGAACCUGGAAUAUUCCUUUAACCGUUGGAACGCGAUCCGGAAAGCUCUAGAAUGACAUUCUGUGUUCCUUGUUCUCCUGUGGCCCGAACCGAAGGCACUCUGCUCCAUGCUGAAUUUUCAGAGGGAGAGAGUUGUAGAGGAAAUGCCUGGUGGAAGCCAGGAAUCAGAAUGAUUCAUGAGUGCAGGAAUGCUGGGAGAGGACAACUCCAUGCUGAAGUCAGAGGGCCCAGCAGUGAGCUCUGAUUUACUGUUGAGGCAAAUUACAAAGUGAGUGAGGAGACGGCGGGGGGAGCCCCCUUUUAAAACCAAUCAUUUCCUCUGUAUUCCCACGUGAUGUGUUUACCACGACACGCAGGCUUGAUGUUUCUUUGGUAGAAAAAAAAAGGUAAUCGUUCUGUUCUUUCCUGAGGCGGUGUUGCCAUUCGUUGGCCGUCUUUUUUCAUAAAGUGCUCAGAUCAACUUGCCGAGCCAUCUUUCCUGUAUUCCUCUUUUUUUAUUUCAAGCUUUUGGUGUGAAAUUAUGUUUUGUGAAUGAAAAACAUCAGCAAAAAAAAACAAAAAAAACUUAAAGAGGAAACCAUGUUUAAUUGAUGUGAGCCAUCACUAUGUCUACAAAUAGCCCGUGAGUCAACCUGAGCUGGCCUGUUUCAUUCCUGUUGUCUUUUCCACUGGAUGUUAAUAAGAACUGUCCGCUAACGAUAGAAUGCCACAUACAGUUUGUAACCGUACGUGUUUCCCUUCUGUCACAGAUCACCUUUUAUAAAUAAAGUUCUUUUCCAUCCUGUA